UAUCCAAAUUUUCUAAUAUCUCGGCGGCGGCGGUGGCGGCGCUCGGGCGCUCGUUUACUCUCCGGCCACCUCUCCCUGCUCUCUGCUCGCACGGCGCCCAGCCAUCCUCCCAAGUUGUGGCGCCAAGCCCUCCCAGGCCGUGGUCGCCCUCCCAGGCCGUGGUCGCCCUCCCAGGCUAGGGUCGCCCUCCUCCCAGACCGUGGUCGCCGGCAGCAGCGAUAGCAGCGGCAGUAGUAGCAAUCGGGUCAUCCACGUCUUCCUCUUCGAACAAUCCAGUCAGUUCACCGACGAUCUAAUCACAAGAAUCCUCGACUUCUCGUCCCCCUCUACAGCCUCAGGCUGCCCAAGCUGCCAAACAAGCUCGAUUUUCUGCAGCAAGCUGUAUAAGAUUGUCAGCUCAGUGGUUGUCAUCUGCUGGAGUAACGACCGCGGCGAGGAGCUCCUCUUCACCAGCAGCAAGUGGGUCUGCAGUCUUCUAUUUGCUCCAAUGUUCUAUAAGCACUUUCAUGCCAGGCCGUGUGCGUCAACAGGAACUGAAGCUUAUGGGCCUGCAGUCCUUGACAAUUAAAAUUCUUUUUGUGGACCUAAUCUAUGGUCCAUUGUGAUGUAUAGGAUGAAAUUGUCUAUCCAUUUGGUGAAGCUUGAGUGAGUCGGAUUUGUUUAGUGUACAAGGCGGUUGUCUGAAAUUUGUCAUUAAUGUAGUGAAGUAGGACCAGUCUGAUUAAAUAUAGUAGAAUGCAGAGCUACUUCCACGCAAACUGUACUUCUGCAAAACAUGAAAUCAGUUAUGUGGAAUUAUGGAUAUAAGAGGAUAUCACGAGUUGGCUACAACAUGGUAACUAAUUGAAUGUACAUGGCUAUGCCAUUUGGUAAUUAACUGACUGUACAGCAUGGUACUUGACAAUAGGAGAUAAUUCUUCUCUUCAAUUAAACAAUGAAUUCUGUUGUUAGAUGAUGAAUAGUAAAAAACUAUAGCAGUACUUCUGAAAUUAUAUGCAGCUUGUUGUUGGUCUGAAAGUAGUUCUGAAUUGAUCUGUUUUUUUGGUCUGAAAUUAUAUGCAGUAGUUCCGA